GACGAACGCUGGCGGCGUGCUUAACACAUGCCAGUCGAACGGUGAAGCUCCAGCUUGCUGGAGUGGAUCAGUGGCGAACGGGUGAGUAACACGUGAGCAACCUGCCCCUGACUCUGGAAUAAGCGCUGGAAACGGCGUCUAAUACUGGAUACGAGAAGGGUCCGCAUGGGCACUUUCUGGAAAGUUUUUCGGUUGGGGAUGGGCUCGCGGCCUAUCAGCUUGUUGGUGAGGUAAUGGCUCACCAAGGCGACGACGGGUAGCCGGCCUGAGAGGGCGACCGGCCACACUGGGACUGAGACACGGCCCAGACUCCUACGGGAGGCAGCAGUGGGGAAUAUUGCACAAUGGGCGAAAGCCUGAUGCAGCGACGCCGCGUGAGGGAUGACGGCCUUCGGGUUGUAAACCUCUUUCAGCAGGGAAGAAGCGAAAGUGACGGUACCUGCAGAAGAAGCACCGGCUAACUACGU
rnacentral:rRNA from 1 species